CCUACGGGUGGCAGCAGUAGGGAAUAUUUCUCAAUGGGCGAAACCCUGAAGCAGCAACGCCGCGUGCAGGAUGAAGGUUUUCGGAUUGUAAACUCCUUUUGUUAGCGACGAUAAUGACGGUAACUAACGAAUAAUCACCGGCUAACUCCGUGCCAGCAGCCGCGGUCAUACGGAGGGUGCAAGCGUUACGCGGAAUCACUGGGCGUAAAGAGCGCGUAGGGGGGAUAGCAAGUCAGAUGGGAAAUCCUAUGGCUUAACCCUAGAACUGCAUUGGAAACUGUUAUUCUAGAGUAUGGGAGGGGUAGGUGGAAUUCUUGGUGUAGGAGUAAAAUCCGUAGAGAUCAAGAGGAAUACUCAUUGCGAAGGCGAGCUGCUAGAACAUAACUGACGCUGAUGCGCGAAAGCGUAGGGAGCAAACAGGAUUAGAUACCCCUGUAGUC
rnacentral:rRNA from 1 species